GCAACAAGGAGAAGAAACUGAUCCAAAGGAAAUAGAAGUGAAUCAAAAUUAUCUGUACCGGGUAGCUUGAAUGGAUACAUGAGAUGCAGUAUAUCAUUAGGAGCCUUACCAUGGGAGCGCAUUAACCAUUGGUAAUGAGUUUCAUAUGGACAAAUCCCAGACCUCGCGGUUCCUCACCCUUAACAUCGUCAUGUGGAAGGUUGGCGCCAACGCACUGAUUAAUCAAUAAGUUUGAAAUCUUUAAAACUGUGCCACCAUAACAUUUCAUAACAGAGCAGCUCAUGUUUCCAAGUAGAGAGAUCAUCACGCUAAACCAUACAUUAGCUGGAAGAUCUACAAUUGAAUUCCAUGGAAGUAUAUUGAAAAGCAAGGUCAGACUGCUGAUACCCAUGUAAGUUAUCUUCAAUAACUGCACUACUAUAUCAUUCAUAACAAGUAGCUAAGGAUUCCAAUUCCAGACUAACCAAUAAUCAUCAUACCAAACAAUAUGGGAUGCCUGAAAGUCCCCACAGAAUUCUAUAAGCAUAUAUGCAAUUUCUCAACCACAGAACAGAAUGAAAUCCCAGAUUGUCAUCCAUUCUGAACUUUUAAGUCCAAUAAUUUCACUUCCCUGAAAAAACUAGUACUUGAAGACCUCUUCAAAGAACAAUGUCAACUGGUCCAAGCAGGAGAUAACCUCCCUCCCAAACACAAAUAAGAAAUAUCUGCGGAAUAACAACCAAUGGCAAGUAAUUUCCUUGGUAUGCCAAUGAAUAAUCCAAAUAAAUGCAGGAAUAUCCCACUACUCAUCCUCCAUCCAGCAAAUUUGACAAGCAGAUCUUAAGUUCUUGGCAAAUUGGCAAUAUAAUACACAGGCUAACUUCUACUUCAUAAGAGAAUAACCAAUUCCACAAUCUCUCAUUUAAAUCAAGCACGCAGCACAACUAUGUUUGCAUAUAAGCAACCUGCAGAAUACUGAAUCCACAUAAAACAGUGGCACCAAAACUAGUAUCAUUUUAACACCUUGUUCCCAGUUGGCAUUUAGGUAGUGUCUUCCUAAAUGAGCAGCUAUAAUAAUCCAGAACUGUACAUACUAUGACCUUCAAAUGCCAUCCCUGCGUGAUAGCCCCCUGUUAUAUUCGUU
rnacentral:misc_RNA from 1 species